GUUGUUGUUGAGAAUGAAGAUGAUGAUGCUAUUUAUUAAAUUUGUAUUGUGCCCUUCAUUCGAAGAUCACAGGGCAGUUCACAACAUAAAAAUACAUUUGUAUUGUGCCCUUCAUUCGAAGAUCACAGGGCAGUUCACAACAUAAAAAUACAUAACGAUAACAUAAAAUUUAAAGUAGCUAGGUGUCCCAGAGAGCAAAAAUAAAGCUCAAAAAUCACAUUUGAUACCAGUGUGUAUCAACUCUUCAGACACAAAUGACAUAAGAGAUAGAAUUGCAGCAGAGCAUGUUGAAUACAUUUUGCUCACAUUCUAGCUAUGGGUAAUAGAAAAGAUUCCUGAUAGAUCAAAGUCAGCUACAUACAAUACAUGUGGAAAACUCCUCCUGCUUGCUACUAUUGUCACUUGCCCAUCUCUUGCCUCUUGACCACUUCAGUGCCCUUGAUAGCCCUUGACAGCCAUGGAGCAGCAACCCAAGGGUGGAUGGUAGCCUUCAGCAUCCCAGAAAAACAACCAGACGAUGUUGUUUUUCAUCAGGGUCUGUUCAGAGGUGCCACCUACUGUUGCCCUGAGCAUAAUCUGCACACAUUACAGCUCACCAAUUCACGUUAACGCCCCCAGCCAAUGGGGCAGUGUGCCAUUAUCUGUAAUUUGGAGCUGAGCACCCACUUGCCUUUGGGAAGAAAAAAAAUGAUUUCAGCUGAGAGUGACCAACUUGGAUGACUUUAAAAGAGAACCAGACAAAUUCACGGAUAAAGCUAUCAGUGACUGCUAGAUACAACUCUGUGCUCUUCUUCCACUGCUGGAGGUGAUAUGCCUCUGAAUACUAUUUGAUGGGAAUCAACUUGUGGGGAGAGUGCUGUUGCAUUCAAGUCCUGUUUGUCGGAGCUGAAUGCAAAGGCCUCUUGUUGGCCACUGUGAAAACAGGAUGGAUUUGGUGGGCCUUUGUCCUGAUCAAGCAGGGCUGCUCUUAUGUUCUGAGACAAGGGGCAGGGCAAAAGCCUCGGUAAAUUAUUCACCAUCUCAACUCUGCAAGAUGCAGAUAAAAAUCAAC